AAAGUCGUAACAAGGUUUCCGUAGGUGAACCUGCGGAAGGAUCAUUAAUGAAAUACAAGUCGGUCGAUUGUGCUGGUGACUAGCAGGUGCACAUUGAUCACAAAUCCUCACACCUGUGCACCCACCAACUCUGAAGAUGUGAUAUGGGAGUGGUCAUCCUUGUGGGUGGCUUUGAACUCUUUCUCUUUGGAGUGUUUCACACAUUCAUGAAUGAAACAGAAUGCUGUCUUUUUGCAAUCAUGCAGCAAAACAACUUUCAACAACGGAUCUCUUGGCUCUC
rnacentral:misc_RNA from 1 species